GCAAUUCUAUCUCUGGUUUGAUCCUACCAAGGACUUCCACACCUACUCUGUCCUUUGGAAUCCUCAAAGCAUCAUCUUCUUUGUGGAUGGGACUCCCAUUAGAGAAUUCAAGAACUUAGAAUCAAAUGGCGUAGCAUUUCCAAAGAGCCAGCCAAUGCAGAUAUACUCUAGCCUAUGGAAUGCUGAUGAUUGGGCCACAAGGGGUGGGCUUGUGAAGACAGAUUGGACCCAAGCACCUUUCACAGCUUCUUAUAGAAACUUCAAUGCACAGGCCUGCAUUUGGUCCUCAGGCUCCUCGUCUUGCUCCAAGAGCUCCUCAAACAACUCAUGGCUAACACAAUCUCUGGACACCACAGGCCAAGCAAGAAUCAAAUGGGUGCAAAAAAACUACAUGAUUUACAACUAUUGCACUGAUACCAAACGCUUUCCUCAAGGAUUCCCUCCUGAGUGCUCACUUGCUUGAAUCAAAUUAUAAAUCAACUGUUUAUAGAUCUUAGACUUCUCUAUAAUCUCUUAGCCUCAGAACUUGAGUUUUGAGGUUGAGAUUUAAUUUCUUGUAUCAUAUUCGACGCUUUCUGUUAGUCUUUUUGUCCAAACGUUUUGUGAUAUACAGCAUAUGAUUAGAAUAAAAAGAAAAUAGUUGUUAAUUAUGUGGUUGGGAAUUCAG
rnacentral:misc_RNA from 1 species